UACGGAGGGUGCAAGCGUUGUCCGGAAUCACUGGGCGUAAAGGGCGCGUAGGCGGCUCAUGAAGGCUGUGGUGAAAGUCCGGGGCUCGACCUCGGAUCGGCCGUGGCGACUCGUGGGCUGGAGCACUGUAGAGGCGGGUGGAAUUCCGGGUGUAGCGGUGGAAUGCGUAGAGAUCCGGAAGAACACCAGUGGCGAAGGCGGCCCGCUGGGCAGUGGCUGACGCUGAGGCGCGACAGCGUGGGGAGCAAACAGG
rnacentral:rRNA from 1 species